UGACUUACUCAUACAUUAUUGGAAUUAUCGCCUUUGUUAGUAACGAGACAUAAAACCGUACGAUUAUUGUAACACUACUUUGUGUUAUUUGCUGCAAAAGAUAAGCCAUGCUAAUAAAUGCCUAGCGCUUAAUAAUUACGCUCGAAGAAAAGGGGAAGUACCUUAUUAUGGGAUUGCAGACGACUGUUCGGUACUUCCUUGCAAUUUUUGCGAGGGCCUAAGUAAGUAUAAAAUCAAGCAAACCAAUGCUGUUUGUAUUAGUUCUCUAUUUAACUUUGUUCUCUAACAAACUACAGUGAUAAUUCAAUCGAUUAUCCAUCGACAUUAAGAUGAAACUAUUUGUCGUAUUUUUGUUUGUGCUUGUUGCUUUAUCUGCCAUGUUUGGUACCACUGAAGGUGGUUGGUUAAAAAAGCAACUUAAAAAAGCUGAAAAGGGAGUAAGGAGAGUACGUGAUAGGGCACGAGAAAAUUUAGAUGUCGUGGCUGGAUAUACCGGUGUUGCCGCACAGGCUGGUGUACUUCCUGGACGAUAAUCCAAUUAGGUUAAAUUAGUUUAAUAUAUGUAAAAAUAAUGUUCCUAAUGAUAUUUUAUAUUUAUUUAAUUAAUGUAGCUUAAUAAAAUUGUCAAAUUUAGAAAUAAUCUAUUUUCGAAUUUAUUCCAUUGACCAUUUAUUACUGGCAAACAGGGACGGAUCAAGAUAUCAUUAAAUAUAUAAUUAUUCAACGAUUUUUUAGUAAAUUUUUGUUUUUGUUUUAAAUAUUUAUUAAUAUACAUAUAUAUAAUUACAUCAAAUUUAAAUAAACAGUUAUAUUAAAUUUAA